GAUGAAGAACGUAGCGAAAUGCGAUAAGUAGUGUGAAUUGCAGAUUUCAGUGAAUCAUCGAAUCUUUGAACGCACAUUGCGCCCCCUGGUAUUCCGGGGGGCAUGCCUGUCCGAGCGUCAUUGCUGCCCUCAAGCACGGCUUGUGUGUUGGGCCCCGUCCUCCGAUCCCGGGGGACGGGCCCGAAAGGCAGCGGCGGCACCGCGUCCGGUCCUCGAGCGUAUGGGGCUUUGUCACCCGCUCUGUAGGCCCGGCCGGCGCUUGCCGAUCAACCCAAAUUUUUAUCCAGGUUGACCUCGGAUCAGGUAGGGAUACCCGCUGAACUUAAGCAUAUCAAUAAGCGGAGGA
rnacentral:misc_RNA from 1 species